rnacentral:rRNA from 1 species
GUAGGUGGCAAGCGUUGUCCGGAAUUAUUGGGCGUAAAGCGCGCGCAGGCGGUUCUUUAAGUCUGAUGUGAAAGCCCACGGCUCAACCGUGGAGGGUCAUUGGAAACUGGAGAACUUGAGUACAGAAGAGGAAAGCGGAAUUCCACGUGUAGCGGUGAAAUGCGUAGAGAUGUGGAGGAACACCAGUGGCGAAGGCGGCUUUCUGGUCUGUAACUGACGCUGAGGCGCGAAAGCGUGGGGAGCAAACGGGGGAUUAGAUACCCCGGUAGUCCACGCCGUAAACGAUGAGUGCUAAGUGUUAGGGGGUUUCCCGCCCCUUAGUGCUGCAGCUAACGCAUUAAGCACUCCGCCUGGGGAGUACGGCCGCAAGGCUG